CCAGAGAUCUGAGCUCUAGUGCAUUAUGCCAACUGGGUGUCCACACUAAGUUCAGCACAAAUAUGGUGACCUCCAGGUUGCCUAAGGAGGGGUGAACUGGCUCAAGUCAGAAAAAACAAGUCAAAACUCCUGUGCUGAUCAGUAGUGGAAUCGCACCUGUGAAGAGCCACUAUGCUCCAGUCUGG
ensembl:misc_RNA Metazoa_SRP Metazoan signal recognition particle RNA